rnacentral:sRNA from 1 species
AUUUUUGCUUUGGUUGCCUGUGCUUUUGAGGUCUUUGUGUACAGGUUUUUGUGUGGAUGGAUGUUUUCUUGGAAGCUAACUUUUCGAACCAGACAUCUAGUAGCGUUUUUGUAGCUUUCUGGACGUUCAACUCUUUGAACAGUUGAACUAUGGGAAUCUUGCCCAUGUCCUGCCUCACCUUCCUCCAGAGAACUCCGGCCGAAUCCCGGGAGAAGAACCGCGAGUGCAUUCUGCUGGAUUUCUUCGAUGACCAUGACAUCUGGCACUUCCUCUCUGCUACUGCUCUGUUUUUCUCAUUCUUGGUUUUGUUAACUUUGGAUGAUGACCUUGAUGUGGUUCGGAGAGACCAGAUCCCUGUCUUCUGAACCUCCAACAUUAAGAGAGGGGAGGGAGCAAUCAAUCUUGGUGCUGUUUCACGAGAAUUACAGUGACCACAGCAAAGUAACCACUGCCAGAUGCUCCAUUCACCCUCUGUAGAGCCAACUCUGCAUUCACACAGGAAGGAGAGGGGCUGCGGGAGAUUUAAACCUGCAAGAAAGGAGGCAGAAGGGGAGCCAUGUUUUGAGGAUGGACGCAA